GGCUCAGAACGAACGCUGGCGGCGCGUCUAAGCAUGCAAGUCGAACGGCAAGAGGUAGCAAUACCUCCUAGAGUGGCGGACUGGUGAGUAACACGUGGGUGACAUACCCUUCAGAUGGGGAUAGCUAUUAGAAAUAGUAGAUAAUACCGAAUACGAGCACAGGGGUUAGAGAUCUGUGAGGAAAGGAGCUAAGGCUCCGCUGAAGGAAUGGCCUGCGGCCCAUUAGCUAGUUGGUGAGGUAAGAGCCCACCAAGGCGAUGAUGGGUAUCCGGCCUUAGAGGGUGAACGGACACAUUGGGACUGAGAUACGGCCCAGACUCCUACGGGAGGCAGCAGCUAAGAAUAUUCCGCAAUGGACGAAAGUCUGACGGAGCGACGCCGCGUGGAUGAAGAAGGCCGGAAGGUUGUAAAAUCCUUUUGAAACUGAAGAAUAAGCGUUGUAGGGAAUGACAGCGUGGUGACAGUAGGUUUUGAAUAAGCAACGGCUAAUUACGUGCCAGCCGCCGC
rnacentral:rRNA from 1 species